UGACGGUAGUCGUAUGCUCGUCUCCGAGACUAAGCCAUGCAAGUCCAAGUACACGUCCUUGAACGACGGAAACUGCGAACGGCUCAUUAAAUCAGUUGCGAUCUACUCGGCGUUCCGCGCCGCCGGAUAACCGUAGUAAUUCUAGGGCUAAUACGUGCGAAGCGCCCGAAGCCGCGAGGCGACGGGCGUUCUCGCCGGAUGUAGGAACCGACCCGGGGACCGCCGGGGCAACCCGGCGCCCCCGAGACGGGGGCGAACCACGGUGAAAUGACGGAUCGUCGGCCCCGCGCCGGCGACUCGCCGAAUGAGUUUCUGACCUAUCAACUCGAGACGGCGGGGUAGAGGCCCGCCGCGGUAACGACGGGUAACGGGGAAUCAGGGUUCGAUUCCGGAGAGGGAGCCCGAGAAACGGCUACCACUUCCAAGGAAGGCAGCAGGCGCGCAACUUACCCUAAUCUCGAUUCGAG
rnacentral:rRNA from 1 species